ensembl:lncRNA GRM5P1 GRM5 pseudogene 1
AGUAGCGGGGAGAUUGCUGCACACGCCGCCCUCAGCUCGGCUGUUCUGAGCACGCUGAGCGGAGGGGAUGAGCUUGAGAUCAUCUUGGGGGGGAAGCCGGGGACUGGAGAGGCCGGCUCUGCCCUGCUGAUCCCCGUGGCCCAACUUUUCGGGGGGCUAGCUAGACCGAGUCUCACUGCUUGCUGCGCAGCCAACAGGGGGGUUUAGAAGAUCAUGACCACAUGGAUCAUCUAACUAAAUGGUACAUGGGGACACAAUGGUCCUUUAGAGAAUACAUCUGAAUUGCUGGCUAAUUUCUUGAUUUGCCACUCAACGCAGGACAUCGCUUGUUCGUAGCUAUCAGAACCCUCCUGAAUUUUCCCCACCAUGCUAUCUUUAUUAGCUGGAACUCCUGUCCUAAAACGGUCCUUCUGUUGAUCCUGUCAGUCUUACUUUUGAAAGAAGAUGUCCGUGGGAGUGCACAGUCCAGUGAGAGGAGGGUGGUGGCUCACAUGCUGGGUGACAUCAUUAUUGGAGCUCUCUUUUCUGUUCAUCACCAGCCUACUGUGGACGAAGUUCAUGAGAGGAAGUGUGGGGCAGUCCGUGAACAGUAUGGCAUUCAGAGAGUGGAGGCCAUGCUGCAUACCCUGGAAAGGAUCAAUUCAGACCCCACACUCUUGCCCAACAUCACACUGGGCUGUGAGAUAAGGGAUUCCUGCUGGCAUUCGGCUGUGGCCCUAGAGCAGAGCAUUGAGUUCAUAAGAGAUUCCCUCAUUUCUUCGGAAGAGGAAGAGGGCUUGGUGUGCUCUGUGGAUGGCUCCUCCUCUUCCUUCUGCUCCAAGAAGCCCAUAGUAGGGGUCAUUGGGCCUGGUUCCAGUUCUGUAGCCAUUCAGGUCCAGAAUUUGCUCCAGCUUUUCAACAUACCUCAGAUUGCUUACUCAGCAACCAUCAUGGAUCUGAGUGACAAGACUCUGUUCAAAUAUUUCAUGAGGGUUGUGCCUUCAGAUGCUCAGCAGGCAAGGUCCAUGGUGGACAUAGUGAAGAGGUACAACUGGACCUAUGUAUCAGCCGUACACACAGAAGGCAACUAUGGAGAAAGUGGGAUGGAAGCCUUCAAAGAUAUGUCAGCGAAGGAAGGGAUUUGCAUCGCCCACUCUUACAAAAUCUACAGUAAUGCAGGGGAGCAGAGCUUUGAUAAGCUGCUGAAGAAGCUCACAAGUCACUUGCCCAAGGCCCGGGUGGUGGCCUACUUCUGUGAGGGCAUGACGGUGAGAGGUCUGCUGAUGGCCAUGAGGCGCCUGGGUCUAGUGGGAGAAUUUCUGCUUCUGGGCAGGGAACCAGAUGCCAUCUUUAUUGAGAUCUCAAAGAACAGCAUCCUAUGGGAAGACAGAAGAAAAUGCCAAGGUCGCUUCCUUCAGGGUUUUGGAGACAUAUUACACAGAAGUGAGUCCGUGCUGCUGCACAUGCCCCAGCCUCUGAAUCUAGAGCUCAGUGCAGGGCCCAUCACUGGACUGAGGGACAGGCUCAUCUAAUUCUGAGUGGAUAUUACUCUGCAUUAUAAUGAAGCCAACAGUCAUAUCUUCUGAUGUGGAGAUUUGAGAAGCAUUUGUAUUGGAUGUGACCGUCAAAAUGCGCCCCAUAUCACUGCAACACCUACAAGUUUUCUUGCAUGGGGUGCUCAGACUUUCACCUCUGGCAAGUAUUACUGGGAGGUCCAUGUGGGGGACUCUUGGAAUUGGGCUUUCGGUGUUUGUAAUAAGUACUGGAAAGGGAAGAAUCAGAAUGGCAAUAUAUAUGGAGAGGAGGGACUCUUUAGUCUUGGGAUUGUUAAGAACGACAUUCAGUGCAGUCUCUUUACCACCUCCCCAGUUACACUGCAGUAUGUCCCAAGACCUACCAACCAUGUAGGAUUAUUCCUGGAUUGUGAAGCUAGAACUGUGAGCUUCGUUGAUGUUAAUCAAAGCUCCCCUAUAUACACCAUCCCUAAUUGCUCCUUCUCACCUCCUCUCAGGCCUAUCUUUUGCUGUAUUCAUCUCUGACCAGAGACAAAUCAGAAAUGUGUUUAUCUGCUGUGGGAACCCCUUUAUCCCAUAAAGCCCUCUUCCUUGUGCCUUAUCAAACAGGACAAAUAGGUUCUGUUUUAUGUCUUGAAUUGCAUUCUAAUGUUAUUAAAACUCAUUUAUUGUGUUACUAUUAAAUGUGGUAAAAACACUAAAA